rnacentral:tRNA from 1 species
UAGAAUAUGGUGUACNAGGUAGCACGAAGAAUUUUGAAUUCUUAGGAUUAGGUUCGARUCCUGUGAUUCUAG